rnacentral:rRNA from 1 species
GGGGAAUAUUGCACAAUGGGCGCAAGCCUGAUGCAGCAACGCCGCGUGAGGGAUGACGGCCUUCGGGUUGUAAACCUCUUUUAGUAGGGAAGAAGCGAAAGUGACGGUACCUGCAGAAAAAGCACCGGCUAACUACGUGCCAGCAGCCGCGGUAAUACGUAGGGUGCAAGCGUUGUCCGGAAUUAUUGGGCGUAAAGAGCUCGUAGGCGGCUUGUCGCGUCUGCUGUGAAAUCCCGGGGCUCAACCCCGGGCCUGCAGUGGGUACGGGCAGGCUAGAGUGCGGUAGGGGAGAUUGGAAUUCCUGGUGUAGCGGUGGAAUGCGCAGAUAUCAGGAGGAACACCGAUGGCGAAGGCAGAUCUCUGGGCCGCUACUGACGCUGAGGAGCGAAAGCAUGGGGAGCGAAC